rnacentral:tRNA from 1 species
GCGUCUGUAGUUAAGAGGUUUAAUACCUGCCUUCCAAGCAGGGGACGCCAGUUCGAAUCUGGCCGGACGCUCCA